UUGUGUUGCAGGGAGAAAGAUAGUUAUUUUGCAAGGAAUAUAGCAAGUUGGAAGAACACAAGAAGGCCUCCAAAGCUCUCAAGAAAAGUUGGAAGAAAGCUACAAUUUAUUGACCCAAGUUUCAAGUUCAAAGGACUCAAGUUGGAAGAGCAAAUUCAAAGGAAAAUCCAAAAGAAUAGUCCUCGAGUCGACUCUUGGAUAGUACGAGUCGACUCCAGGGAGUAACAAGGCAGAAACACAGAGAAGCUAUUUUGGACCCUGA
rnacentral:lncRNA from 1 species